rnacentral:rRNA from 1 species
UACGUAGGGUGCGAGCGUUGCCCGGAUUUAUUGGGCGUAAAGGGCGCGUAGGCGGCUCGGCACGUCCGUUGUGAAAUCGCCCGGCUCAACUGGGCGGGGUCAGCGGAUACGGUCGAGCUUGAGCAAGCUAGGGGGUAAUGGAAUUCCCGGUGUAGUGGUGGAAUGCGUAGAUAUCGGGAGGAACACCAGUGGCGAAGGCGGUUACCUGGGGCUUUGCUGACGCUGAGGCGCGAAAGCGUGGGGAGCAAACAGG